rnacentral:SRP_RNA from 1 species
UCUUGCAAGAUAAUACAUCAUGUGUUAAAAUAGUUAAGCAAAAGCAGUUUCCCAGGUGAGACUGCGGCGCUUGGGUCUCACGCAAUGAAGACUCAUGAACCCCGUCAGAUCCGGAAGGAAGCAGCGGUAAGUGAUCACCUUUAUGUGCCGUGAGGGUGCCUGAGCGUCGUAGUCUGACUUGAGAAGCUGUUUUUUUAGUUCGCAAAA